rnacentral:rRNA from 1 species
ACAUGCAAGUCGAGCGGUAACAGACAUAAAGAUUCAGCUUGCUGAAUCCGGUGCUGACGAGCGGCGAACGGGUGAGUAACGCGUAGGAAUCUACCCAGUAGCGGGGGAUAGCCCGGGGAAACCCGGAUUAAUACCGCAUACGCCCUAAGGGGGAAAGGGGGCAGCUUGCUGCUCUCACUAUUGGAUGAGCCUGCGUAAGAUUAGCUUGUUGGUGGGGUAAAGGCCUACCAAGGCAACGAUCUUUAGCUGGUCUGAGAGGACGAUCAGCCACAUUGGGACUGAGACACGGCCCAGACAUCUACGGAUGGCAGCAGUUAAGAAUAUUGGACAAUGGGGGCAACCCUGAUCCAGGUAUACCGCGUGUGUGAAGAAGGCCCUAGGGUUGUAAAGCACUUUAAUCAGAGAAGAAGCAUUUUAAGUUAAUACCUUAACAUGUUGACGUUACCUGAAGAAUAAGGACCGGCUAACUCCGUGCCAGCAGCCGCGGUAAUACGGAGGGUCCAAGCGUUAAUCGGAAUUACUGGGCGUAAAGCGCGCGUAGGCGGUUUAGCAAGUUGAAUGUGAAAGCCCUGGGCUCAACCUAGGAACUGCAUUCAAAACUACUAAGCUAGAGUGCGAGAGAGGAGAGUAGAAUUUCUGGUGUAGCGGUGAAAUGCGUAGAUAUCAGAAGGAAUACCAAUGGCGAAGGCAGCUCUCUGGCUCGUCACUGACGCUAAGGUGCGAAAGCGUGGGUAGCAAACAGGAUUAGAUACCCUGGUAGUCCACGCCGUAAACGAUGAGAACUAGCCGUUGGGCAGAUUUAACUGUUCAGUGGCACAGCUAACGCAUUAAGUUCUCCGCCUGGGGAG